rnacentral:rRNA from 1 species
UCUACGGGAGGCUGCAGUGAGGAAUAUUGGGCAAUGGGCGCAAGCCUGACCCAGCAACGCCGCGUGGAGGAAGACGGCCUUCGGGUUGUAAACUCCUUUUACGGGGGAAGAGGAAGGACGGUACCCCGAGAAUAAGUCACGGCUAACUACGUGCCAGCAGCCGCGGUAAUACGUAGGUGACAAGCGUUAUCCGGAAUUACUGGGCGUAAAGCGCACGCAGGCGGUGCGUUAAGUCUGACGUGAAAUCUCCCGGCUUAACUGGGAGGGGUCGUUGGAAACUGGCGGACUUGAGGCGAUGAGAGGGGUGUAGAAUUCCCGGUGUAGUGGUGGAAUGCGUAGAUAUCGGGAGGAAUACCAGUGGCGAAAGCGGCACCCUGGCAUUGGCCUGACGCUCAUGUGCGAAGGCGUGGGGAGCGAACGGGAUUAGAUACCCCUGUAGUC